rnacentral:rRNA from 1 species
GUUUGAUCAUGGCUCAGAACGAACGUUGGCGGCGGGCCUAACACAUGCAAGUCGCGGGAGAAAGGGGCUUCCGCCCCGAAUAAACCGGCGCACGGGUGAGUAACACGUAGGUAAUCUGCCCUCCGGUGGGGGACAACCGGCCGAAAGGCUGGCUAAUACCGCAUUCGUCGGCGAGGACUGCGGUUCUUGUCGGGAAAGCGGGCCUCUCCAUGGAAGCUCGCGCCGGAGGAGGAGCCUGCGUCCCAUCAGCUAGUUGGUGAGGUAACGGCCCACCAAGGCAAACACAGAUAGCUGGUCUGAGAGGAUGAUCAGACACACUGGGACUGAGACACGGGCCAGACUCCUACGGGAGGCAUGAGUGGGGAAUAUUGGACAAUGGGCGCAAGCCUGAUCCAGCCACGCCGGGUGAGUGAUGAAGGCCUUCUGGUCGUAAAGAUCUGUGGGGAGGGACGAAUGACAGACGACCUAACUCGUCGAAGGUCUGACGGUACCUCCUUAGCAAGCACCGGCUAACCACGUGCAUUCAGCCGCGGUAAUACGUGGGGUGCAAACUUGGCUCGGAAUCACUGGGUUUAAAGCGUGCGUAGGCGGCCCAUCUUGUCGGAUGUGAAAGCCCUCGGCUUAACCAAGGAAGGGCAUCUCAGACUGACGGGCUUGAGUACUGGAGAGGGCGACGGAAUUCCCGGUGUAGUGGUGAUUACGUAGAUAUCACUGAGGAACAACGGCGGCGAACGCGGUCGCCUGCACAGAUACUGACGCUGAGGCACGAAAGCGUGAGGAGCGAACAGGAUUAGAUACCCUGGUAGUCCACGCUGUAAACGAUGAGCGCUAGGUGUCGCGGGCAUUGACCCCUGCGGUGCCGCAGGAAACCAUUAAGCGC